rnacentral:rRNA from 1 species
AUUGAACGCUGGCGGCAGGCCUAACACAUGCAAGUCGAGCGGUAGAGAGGUGCUUGCAUCUCUUGAGAGCGGCGGACGGGUGAGUAAUGCCUAGGAAUCUGCCCUAGUGGUGGGGGAUAACGUUCGGAAACGGACGCUAAUACCGCAUACGUCCUACGGGAGAAAGCGGGGGGAUCUUCGGACCUCGCGCCAUUAGAUGAGCCUAGGUCGGAUUAGCUAGUUGGUGAGGUAAUGGCUCACCAAGGCGACGAUCCGUAACUGGUCUGAGAGGAUGAUCAGUCACACUGGAACUGAGACACGGUCCAGACUCCUACGGGAGGCAGCAGUGGGGAAUAUUGGACAAU